rnacentral:tRNA from 1 species
UCCCCGGUGGCUCAGCUGGUAAAGAGUCUGCCUGCAAUGCAGGAGACCUGGGUUCGAUCCCUGGGUUGGGAA